GGAGAAAUGAGAAUUGAAAAAUGAAAAUAACGUCGAAGAAGCAGAGCAACAGCGAUAACAAGAAGUGGCUACUGGCCGCCAUCUCAAAUCUUCCAUUUUACGAUGAAUAGGAAGACCAACCUACUACUACUAAAGAGGCAAAGGUGGAAGAUGAUGGGGAGUUUCGCCGCCGCAAAAUACUCGAUUCAUCCGACGGCCCAUCCAUCCAACAACUCGUCGACUCCUUUCAAACCCAAGGGAGACAAGAUUGCUGAGGUUCCGAUACUUGAUUAUUUUCAGGCAGGUUGCUAUUCCUGAUCUUGUUCUGACGUAUAAAUGAGGCAUGAUGUAAUAGAUAGUGAGUCUAAUAUUUCUGUUGCUAUUGAUUCUUAUUAAUUAGAUUUGGAAUGACAUUAAUAUUAAUAUUAUUAAUAUUAAUAUACGCUCAUAUUAUUCAU